CGCCCUUGCAGGCCUGGCUCACUGGCCAAGAGAAGUGUCCUCCAGCUCUCCACAGCCUGGUACUGAAGCAGCAUAGAGAGGCAAAAGAGAAUCGAGCCCUUUCUGCCCAUUUCAGGAGGGUGACUGUCUGACCUAUUCCCCAGCCUGAACUUUUGGAGAAGUGGCAGUCAGCAAGCUCCUCUCCAGCCAUCACGUGCAGCAUAUCCACCUUCUUCAGAGACUGAUACAUCAGCAGUAGCUGGACCACGGAAUGCUCCUUGUUUUCUACUGCUGCCAGUUGUGGAAGCCAAGAAGAAAUGAACGAACUCUGAGAAUGCAAGUCCUGGGAGGAUGCUUCUAGAAGGGUAAAGCCGUCCAAAGGGGAUAGAUGAGAAGACUACAAGCCACAGCAUUUAUAGGCAUAUCCCUGAAUGGAGAGAGAGACUUUUGGAAGGUAACCAGCUCUAGUGAUAGCAAUCACUAGGAACACACAAUACUGCCGACCUGAUCCCUUGCUCAAACUUAACUCCCAAUGAAGUUUUGCAUGAGAGUAGAGCAUAGUUUGGAGCCC